AAAAACCUGAGACGGAUAACACGAUGCUCUCUCCUCUAUCUCUUCGUCUUCGCCGUUUCCUCUCUAUCGUUUCAGUUCUCUCGAUCCUCAUCUCCAUAAUCAAUACUCCAUUACAUCUCGAUCCAUCAAUCUCUUCUUUAUGAUUUCGAUUCCGUUUACUCUUUCCUAUAUACUGAUUUUCUCUCUUGAGUGCAAACCAAACCAGCUCAUCUCCGAGGAUCUCAGCCGCCGCUACUUCCACCAGCCCAUCUCCGCCGUCGUUUACUGCCACUCACGCGGCGUGAGCUGAUGGGCGUGGAUAUGCUACUUAUUGAUCCAAGGCAAAGCUCAUCCACGUCUUUAUCAAUGUUCACCGUCUUAACACCUUUAAACCAAAUCCGCAACGAAGCAGGUUCACUUAGGUCUCAAUUUCAAGUUAUUAGCUAAUUUCCAAAGAGUUUCAAGUUAUUAGCUAAUUUCCAAAGACAAGCAUAUAGGUUUUUCACAAAAUAUGUUGAGAUGUAUAUAUAGCAUUCAUAUUUUGUCAUAUACUAAAAACUACCUAUAAAUAAUGCUGCUUUUUAAGUACCAUAAACACUAACGGAAUCCAUUUCAGGAAACUACCGGAGCUUGGGUGAGAUCGCCAUGAAAGCAUAGAAGCAAUAUCCAGCCAACGAAUUUACUUUAUUAAUCUCAUACAAGUUUACAGGCUUAAAAAAAAAGUUUACAGACUUAACGUAGGAUGGUUAUCGUGAAUGCAAUAUACCUUGCGCUGUUUAUUGUUCUAUCGCCUGUCUCACCUAAUAAUAUGUCUCAUAAUUUUGUUUUGGUCACUUUUAUUGUGCCUCAUAGUCAGUAAUGUUUCUUUCAUUCAUCACGCCAUUUUCAGGCUCAAAAGGAACGAAUGAAGCAAGAAAUUACAGGAACGGAUCCCACAACAGCCUAACGCCACCAAAAGACGCAAGUAAAAGGCUUCCUCUGGUGAGUGGUGAUGAGCUACAAAAUCAAAGGGAUGACAAACGAAUUUGAAGAGUUGGGCAGUCCACAAAGAGAGAGAUGAUGCUGUCACUGCCAAGCAUUAUCGACAUCUUGAAAAUUUUAAGAGAAGGGAAAGGGCACUAAUGGCCGAGUUGGGGAGCCUGUUCAUGGUUCUAUUGGCAAGAACCGAGAUGUAACUGAGGAGAAGAGUAGCUUUGACCUUGCAGAAACCAAAUAUGGAAACACGGUUGAGAAACGCAGUUAGUAAACUUUUCAAACUUCUAAUGCCCACGGAGAAAUACACCACAGGAGUAAAGAACAUGGUGCUUGAGACACUGUCUUCUGCAAAAAUUGAAGGCUUCGUGGAUGGAUUCAGAGGUGAAACCAAAGCGGCCAGCACGGAAAAGACGGUGGACAAGUAGUUGAGAAUCAUAAGCUGGAGAUGAAGUAAAGAGCAAUGAAAUGGCAUCUUUGGCUAGAUCGAGGGAAAAUCUGAUGCUUCAUGUAGCCUCUUAUGCUUAGACGUAUGACAUGAGAUUUUCUCAUCCCACCGAUCAGUUGUGCCGGUAGCGACAAGGAGUAUCAAGUUCAAUGCAAACCAAUUAGGAGAUUAAGAAGAGUGUGUGUGGGGGAGAGAGAGGCUGUGCUGUGUAAGAAUAGGGAGAGGGAAUACUCAUAAGGAUGAAUUUGAGAGAAUUUUGUUGUAGUCAUUGUAGUCAUAAACGGUUAAUUUCAUUAGUUUUCCCAACA